rnacentral:rRNA from 1 species
UAGGACUGAAGUGCAACUAAGCUGUCAUAAGCUCAAGAUGUACCUAAGGCCACCUUUAAGAUGAUCCUAGCGUUGCCUGACUAAUUUAACCCCACGAAAGCUAAGACACAAACUGGGAUUAGAUACCCCAUUAUGCCUAGCCCUAAAUCUUGAUGCUUGCCAUACCAAAGCAUCCGCCUGAGAACUACGAGCACAAACGCUUAAAACUCUAAGGACUUGGCGGUGCCCCAAACCCACCUAGAGGAGCCUGUUCUGUAAUCGAUAACCCACGAUUCACCCGACCGCCCCUUGCCAAUGCAGCCUACAUACCGCCGUCGCCAGCCCACCUCUCCUGAGAGCCCUACAGUGAGCACAAUAGCCUAAACCCGCUAACAAGACAGGUCAAGGUAUAGCCCAUGGAGCGGAAGAAAUGGGCUACAUUUUCUACAAUAGAAAACCAACGAAAGGGGACGUGAAACAGUUCCCGGAAGGCGGAUUUAGCAGUAAAGCGGGACAAUAAAGCCCCCUUUAAGCUGGCCCUGAGGCACGUACAUACCGCCCGUCACCCUCC